GAUGAAGAACGCAGCGAAAUGCGAUAAGUAAUGUGAAUUGCAGAAUUCAGUGAAUCAUCGAAUCUUUGAACGCACAUUGCGCCCGCUAGUAUUCUGGCGGGCAUGCCUGUUCGAGCGUCAUUUCAACCAUCAAGCUCCUUAGCUUGUGUUGGGGACCUGCGGCUGCCGCAGCCCCCGAAAUGCAGUGGCGGGCUCAUUGUCACACCGAGUGCAGUAAUCAUUCUUCUCUCCGGGCGUGGCGGCGGGUUCCGGCCGUAAAAUCACCAAUUUAUCAAGGUUGACCUCGGAUCAGGUAGGAAUACCCGCUGAACUUAAGCAUAUCAAUAAGCGGAGGA
rnacentral:misc_RNA from 1 species